rnacentral:lncRNA from 1 species
AUGUCGGAAGGAAAUGCAGUGAGCGAACCCAGCACUCUGCAAGGGCCCCGACCCCUCCUGACUGGGGCCCAGGAGCUCAGCAGGCAGCGACUGGCACCCCUUCACCCCGGGCCGCCUUCCCUUCAUCCGCUCUGGGAACCUUACCCUGGGGGUUGAGGUUGGGGGUCAAGAAGAAAACCUUCACCCCAAAUAUCAUCAGUCAGAAGAACCCAAGGAAGAAGUAACCGUCAAGAAGGAGAAACAUGAAAGGGACAGAGAUGGACAGAGACAGGUGCAUGGACAGGGAUGAGGCCACCCAGAAGUGAUCCAGUCUCACUCCAUCUUUGAGAAGGGCCCAGCUGAAAUGAUGAAGAAAAAAGGAACUGGAAUAAGAAAGUGAAUGUGUCAGACAUGGGACCUUCUCAUAUCGUCCACAUCAAAAAAGAGAAGAAAGAGUUGGACGAAGACACGAAACAUCUCACCAUGCUGUAGAAGGACGAUUUCAUUGAUGACCCUGGGCUGAGGAAUGACACUCGCAACAUGCCUGUGCAGCUGCCACUGGCUCACUCAGGGUGGCUUUUUAAGGAAGAAAACAAUGAACCAGAUGUUAAACCUUGGCUGGCUGGCCCCAAGAAAGAGGUGGGGGUACCUACUGUGAAACUGAAAGAGGAGCUACAAGAUGAGGAGGAGGCCAAGAUAAAGGCUCCUUCCAGAGCAGCCAGGAAGACCCCCGGGCCUCCCGAAGGACAUAUCCGUGGCAGAGCUGCCCAGGGAGCUGAGCCUCACCAAGGAGGAGGAAUUGCUGUUCCUCCAGUUGCCAGACACCCUCCCUGGCCACCCACCUAUCCAGGACAUCAAGCCCAUCAAGGCAGAGGUACAGGGCAAGGACAGAGAGGUGGUACUCAUCAAGCAGGAGAACGACCAGGAAGCCAGGCUGGCAAAGAAUGCUUCUACCCUAGCUGACCUGACAGAGGGUCAGGUUGGCAAGCUGCCCAUCUGCAAGUCCGAAAGGGUGCAACUCCUCCUGGGCAAGGUGACUCUGGACGUGACCAUGGGAACCGCCUGCUCUUUCCUGCAGGAGCUGGUGUCUGUGGGCCUUGGAGAGAGUAGGACUGGGGAGAUGAUAGACCUGGGACAUGUGAAGCACAAACUUCUGUGUUCCCCCGAUUUUGAAUCCCUCUUGGAUCACAAACACUG